rnacentral:rRNA from 1 species
CCUACGGGGAGCAGCAGUGGGGAAUAUUGCGCAAUGGGCGAAAGCCUGACGCAGCGACGCCGCGUGAGGGAUGAAGGUCUUCGGAUCGUAACCCUCUGUCAGCAGGGAAGAACGGUCACUGUGCUAAUCAGCAGUGAAUUGACGGUACCUGCAAAGGAAGCACCGGCUAACUCCGUGCCAGCAGCCGCGGUAAUACGGCGGGUGCGAGCGUUAAUCGGAAGUACUGGGCGUAAAGGGCUCGUAGGCGGUAGGUCAAGUCAAGGGUGAAAUCCCCGCGCUCAACGUGGGAACUGCCUUUGAUACUGGCAAACUGGAGUGUGUGAGAGGAUAGUGGAAUUCCAGGUGUAGGAGUGAAAUCCGUAGAUAUCUGGAGGAACAUCAGUGGCGAAGGCGACUAUCUGGCACAUAACUGACGCUGAGGAGCGAAAGCGUGGGUAGCAAACAGGAUUAGAUACCCGGGUAGUC